UUAAUUCAUUUCAUACCACUUCCUCUUCAGUCCAGAACGUUCCACCACAGCUCUCCUUCUUCUUCUUCUUUUUUUUUUUCCUCUGAGCACUUCAAAACGAACGGAGGAUUUUUUUUUUUUCUCCUCAGUCCUUUUCUUUCCAGAAUUUUUUUUUUCCUUCCUUCGUUCCACAGUGAGCUGAACCAAACUCACCCAACUCAUCCAACUUCAGAAUCGGCUUCUAUUCCGGAGACGGCAAUGGCAGGGACUGUUUCGGUGCCGGUUGCUUUGAUGAUUGCGUUCCUGGCGUGUUCUAAGAGCCACCAGAACUCAUCCGUCCUCUUGGAGAGACUCUUCAACUUCUUCUCCACCGGAACUCAUCCACCGUAAGAUGGGUACAAACUCCAUUUGAAAGAUUUUGCUACAUUCUUUUUUUUUUUUUUUUUUUUUUUUUUUGCAUUUUGAGGAAUCCUAAUUUGCAAGGGAUUGAUUUUUUUUUUCCUUAGCUGAUUUGGGAAUUUGUUAUAGAUUUUUUUGUGUUUGGAUUUGGAAAUUUGUUGGGAGAGCAGAGAGAUGAUUUAGGAAUUUGUUAUAGAUUUUUUUGUGUUUGGAUUUGGAAAUUUGUUGGGAGAGCAGAGAGAGAUGAGAUGAGAACUAAUGAUUUAUCAAGGAUAAUUUCGUAA